GUAACAAGGUCUCCGUUGGUGAACCAGCGGAGGGAUCAUUACCGAGUUUACAACUCCCAAACCCAAUGUGAACCAUACCAAACUGUUGCCUCGGCGGGGUCACGCCCCGGGUGCGUCGCAGCCCCGGAACCAGGCGCCCGCCGGAGGGACCAACCAAACUCUUUUCUGUAGUCCCCUCGCGGACGUUAUUUCUUACAGCUCUGAGCAAAAAUUCAAAAUGAAUCAAAACUUUCAACAACGGAUCUCUUGGUUCUGGCAUCGAUGAAGAACGCAGCGAAAUGCGAUAAGUAAUGUGAAUUGCAGAAUUCAGUGAAUCAUCGAAUCUUUGAACGCACAUUGCGCCCGCCAGUAUUCUGGCGGGCAUGCCUGUCCGAGCGUCAUUUCAACCCUCGAACCCCUCCGGGGGGUCGGCGUUGGGGACCUCGGGAGCCCCUAAGACGGGAUCCCGGCCCCGAAAUACAGUGGCGGUCUCGCCGCAGCCUCUCCUGCGCAGUAGUUUGCACAACUCGCACCGGGAGCGCGGCGCGUCCACGUCCGUAAAACACCCAACUUCUGAAAUGUUGACCUCGGAUCAGGUAGGAAUACCCGCUGAACUUAAGCAUAUCAAUAA
rnacentral:misc_RNA from 1 species